ACGGUGGACAGAUUUGCCUGCUUGCAACCACCUUCAAAAAAAUGCUAAAAU
rnacentral:ncRNA from 1 species